GGUGGCUCAGUGGUAAAGUGCUUGCCUUGCAUGCAUGAGGCCCUGGGUUCGGUUCCCCAGCACCA
rnacentral:tRNA from 1 species